ACACGUAUUUUAACACUGCUGGUUUCUGCUUUAAAUUUAAAAAGAUCAACUGAGCACCACAAAAAGUCCAGUUUACUACUUCUAUUUAAUAGAGAGUGACAGCAUACAAAUAUCAGAUGUAUUUCUGAUUAAACAGAAUAAAUAUGGCUUUUGUAUUAAAAAAACAAAAACAAAAACAACAAAACUCUGCUUUAUAAAACCUUCAGUUUAAUAUCAGUUGGUCUUAGCUUUCUUCACUGGUACUACUGCAGAGGACUAGUCUGUGCUGGAACAGGGGCAUUGGUGCUUAGCCUUUAGUAAGGUUAUCAAGCAGCAGAAAUAUCCCUGGGCUUGUUCCCAUCUUUCACACACAGUGACCUACAGCAGCUCCUGUUUGUGUUCAGUUUGAACAGAAGCACAGUAAAAAAUACCUCUUCAGAUAGUACCUCUCCACCUAUAAAGUUGGUUUAUGUCUUCUCCAAGGAAAAGAUGAGGGGCUAGACUUUAAUUAUAUGAUUUUAAUGCAUCUUACAUACUGCGCUUCUGUAACAUCAUAAAACCAUGUCUCGCAGAAUCAAAUAAAGUCACCAUUGUUAACAGCUUAAUUCUCUUUUUGCCACAUUUCAGCAUGAAAUAAACAUUCUGCAAGUGCCUCACCCUCACCACACAGACAUACAACAGAAUUUACUCUCCUACAUCUUGUGCUCCCUCCUGUGCAUUUUACUAAGAAACAGACCUACUCACCAGUUGACAAGAUUUUCUCCAGAAUAAUAAAGUAGCUUUAAGUAGAAUAAUCUCAGCCAACCAACCAAAUGAGAAAAAGACAGAAGGAACUGGUUAUAUUGAAUGAUCCAAAAAAUUUGGCCAGUGUUCAAAUAUUAGAGGGUUUAAGGUACACAAAAUUCAUUGCUGUUCAGUGUACAUUCAGCAUCUAAUGUCUUAGGUCCAUAUAAAAUUAAAUAAAGACAAGCUCUUGCCUUUUUAUACACCACUAUAUAGUUAUUGUAGAAUCAAAACAUGGAAAUCAGACCUGUCAGUAGAAGAGCUCCACGCACUGAUGAAGUCACUUACUUCCAGUAUACUCAAAACACGGGUAUAGCACAAAAAUAUCACAACCAAACUCAAUUAAAAAGAUGGUAAGUUGCAGAGAGCACCCACUUCAGCAAUUUCUUCAAACCACGUUAUCCUCUGAUGUGAUCCUUCUACCUUUCUUAGUCUCAACAAUACACUGAGCAAAGUUUGGCUGAGCAGCAUCAGAAGAGAAAGGAAAUGACAGCUAUUAAACCUUUACUAACAUGAUACAAGAUCGGUGUUGUAGGUGUUAGAAGUGGCCCCAGGAGUGCUGGAGCCCGAGCCAUGCCAGCGCCACAGAAGCCCCAAGACCACCCCCAGGCAGUACACCAGGCUGAGGGCACCUACCUGCACCCCCCCCUCAAAGCCAGUGCACCCUAACUAACCUCAGAAACUCCACGCUGUGAAACCCACGGUUUUCUUAACGAAAAUAGCUAAAGAACGACUGCAGACAGACCUCCUCUCUCCUUCAAGGGCUGCUCACGCAGACACCAAGCCCAGACCCGAGGGCUCUUCUCCUCCCGCCCUCAGAAGCUACCAGGACUCCACCCUGUGCUAGAACAUUCUGUGGCAGUGCCCCACCAGCACCACUCUUCCCUCCCACACCCCAAUUUCUUUCUUUUUUUUUUUUUCCCUCACGUGAGGUGACAAAACACUUGGGAGGAGAGGACUGCCAUCAAAAACACAGAGAGACACGAUACCUCAGGCACAUCCUAGCUCCUGAUUUUAUUGCUGGGGCAGUAGCUCAAUAUUUUGAAGAACAUAAUAUCUGAAACCAGCUAUAUAACAAAGACUUGUGUUAUAGCAGAAAUGAAUUAAGAUUAUUCUGGUAGUAUACAUGCAGAACGAUACACCACAUGACUUCAGCUGUGAGUUGCAGGCAGUUGCUGGAGAGAAAAGAUGCAACUGUAAGACUGCCAGGUAAUUGCAGUUAAAAUGAAAUCCACUUUUGAGAAGAGUGUUGUGGUCUUCAGGAGUCCUUUCUAUGCUCAGAUACGCUGUCUUGUGAAGAAUUUACUGGGCUGAGAAAAAUAAGGGUCCAAGCUCCCAAAAGCAGUACCUGUGGGAGGAAAUUACCUGAUGAUGGUACUUUGUUCCAAAUAUUACUUGAAAGGCCUUCCCCAGUGAUGGGAUGGAGCUUGGGGACCGUUAUUAUGGCAACUCUGGAGACUGUGGUUUACAGCAAGAGGGCAGGCUGUAGAAUCUGUGCUUAAAAACCAAGAUUCUGAAGAAAUAAAUUUAUUUCACACAAUUGUAGUACCUUGAUUUUUCCAUUGAUUUUUCAGUUCUGAGUUUUCUUAUAAGGGAUGCUGUGCGACAUUUGGCAUUUUUGUUGUCAUGAUUACCAUUAACCUAUCUGACUAAGUCCAAAGCAGAGGUUGUAUUUCAAAGAAGAACUCUUUUCUUUUUGAAGAGAAGGGUGACUUCGUUAUCACAUGUAAGUACUUGAUAGCUUGGAGGAAAAGGAACUUCUUGUACCUUAGCAUUUUUUGAGCUUCUAGUUAUCAGGUAUUUUUCCUCUGAAGUUCAGUGUUGCAAAAAAAAAAAAAAAACAA